rnacentral:lncRNA from 1 species
UUUGGUUAGGGUUUGAUUUAGGAUUUAGGAUUUGGAGUAGGAUUUGGUUAGGGUUUGAUUUAGGAUUUAGGAUUUGAUUUAGGGUUUGGUUAGGAUUUGGUUUAGGAUUUGGUUGGGAUUUGAUUUAGGGUUUAGGAUUUUAUUAGGAUUUAAGAUUCAAUUAGUUUUGGCCUAAAGUUUGAAUGAAGUUCAAUAGGAUUUAAACUAGAAUUAAA